rnacentral:rRNA from 1 species
UACGUAGGGUGCGAGCGUUGUCCGGAAUUAUUGGGCGUAAAGAGCUUGUAGGCGGUCUGUCGCGUCUGCUGUGAAAAUCCGGGGCUCAACCCCGGACUUGCAGUGGGUACGGGCAGACUAGAGUGUGGUAGGGGAGACUGGAAUUCCUGGUGUAGCGGUGAAAUGCGCAGAUAUCAGGAGGGAACACCCGGUGGGCGAAGGCGGGUCUCUG